rnacentral:rRNA from 1 species
AAGUCGUAACAAGGUUUCCGUAGGUGAACCUGCGGAAGGAUCAUUAAAAGUAAUAAGUGCCCCCGGCGCGUAUUAUGUAACCCAUCUGUGUAUCUUACCUGUUGCUUCCGUGGGUCGUUGGCUUCGGCCACUCCUCAAAUGCGGGGAACCCACGGGAGGUCUACAUCAAACCUUUGCUCUCAAUGAUAUCUGUCUGAAUUGUCUCAAUGAGAAAAGUUAAAACUUUCAACAACGGAUCUCUUGGUUCUCGCAUCGAUGAAGAACGCAGCGAAAUGCGAUAAGUAGUGUGAAUUGCAGAAUUCAGUGAAUCAUCGAAUCUUUGAACGCACAUUGCGCCUCCUGGUAUUCCGGGAGGCAUGCCUGUUCGAGCGUCAUUAAAAACCACUCAAGCGUGUUUGCUUGGACUUGGAGGAAGAGCAGCGCCCUCGUGGCGGGUUCCCCUCUGAAAUAUAAUGGCGGAUGAUCCACGAGGACACGGACGUAGUAAGAGCAAUCUCUCGCCGUGCCCUCUGGAUCAUCCCGCCCUCAAUCCCCAAUCACAAUCAUGGUUGACCUCGGAUCAGGUAGGGAUACCCGCUGAACUUAAGCAUAUCAAUAAGCGGAGGAAAAGAAANCAACAGGGAUUGCCUCAGUAACUGCGAGUGAAGCGGCAAAAGCUCAAAUUUGAAAUCUGGCUCCUUCGGGGUCCGAGNUGUAAUUUGGAGGGGCAUCUUCGGGAUCGGCGCCGUCCUAAGUUCCUUGGAACAGGACGUCACAGAGGGUGAGAAUCCCGUGCCUGGGCGGCUGCCCGAUUCCAUGUGAAGUGCCUCCGACGAGUCGAGUUGUUUGGGAAUGCAGCUCAAAAUGGGUGGUAAAUUUCAUCUAAAGCUAAAUAUUGGCGAGAGACCGAUAGCGCACAAGUAGAGUGAUCGAAAGAUGAAAAGCACUUUGAAAAGAGAGUUAAAAAGUACGUGAAAUUGUUGAAAGGGAAGCGCUUGCGACCAGACUCGGUCUUUGGGGGUCAUCCGGGUUUCGGCCUGGUGCCAUCCCCAUUGAUCGGGCCAGCAUCGGUUCCGGCGGCGGGGUAAAAGGCGAGGGAAUGUGGCUCUCUUCGGGGAGUGUUAUAGCCCUUGCCACAAUGCCGCCAGCUGGGACCGAGGACCGCGCUUCGGCUAGGAUGCUGGCGUAAUGGUCUUAAGCGACC